UGGGGAAUAUUGCACAAUGGGCGCAAGCCUGAUGCAGCCAUGCCGCGUGUAUGAAGAAGGCCUUCGGGUUGUAAAGUACUUUCAGCGGGGAGGAAGGCGAUAAGGUUAAUAACCUUGUCGAUUGACGUUACCCGGAGAAGAAGCACCGGCUAACUCCGUGCCAGCAGCCGCGGUAAUACGGAGGGUGCAAGCGUUAAUCGGAAUUACUGGGCGUAAAGCGCACGCAGGCGGUCUGUCAAGUCGGAUGUGAAAUCCCCGGGCUCAACCUGGGAACUGCAUUCGAAACUGGCAGGCUAGAGUCUUGUAGAGGGGGGUAGAAUUCCAGGUGUAGCGGUGAAAUGCGUAGAGAUCUGGAGGAAUACCGGUGGCGAAGGCGGCCCCCUGGACAAAGACUGACGCUCAGGUGCGAAAGCGUGGGGAGCAAACA
rnacentral:rRNA from 1 species